AUGGAGCUUGACACACGCGCUCUCGCCCUCCUCCCGCUGGUGCUUGCCUCGCUGGCGAUGUUCCUCCAGCCUGCCGUUGCAACCCAUGGCAUGCCACGCCCCAGCGGAGGCUUCAGCCUGCGCCUGGUGCCCAGCGCCGGCUGGAACAGCACCAUGCACGUCGACAACGGCGGCUUCCUGCACCUCAACGAGCAGGCAGCCACCACUGCGCUUCGGCCGCAUGUCCACGGGCCGAGAGGGCUGACAUACAGCGUGGCCACCACCGUCGGGACGGGCCGCGGCCGCCGCACCUACGACCUGGUGCUGGACACGGUCAGCAGCCUGACAUGGAUGCAGUGCUUGCCGAUUGCGCAUCCGUUCCCACAGAUGCCGCCGCCCUUCAACCCGGAGAUCUCGACGUCGUUCAGACGCGUCCCGCACGGGAGCGACCUGUGUCAUAAGCCAUCCAGGGGCAACGAUUGCGAGUUCCGGGCCACCCGCCUCGACGGCGCGCACGCGAGCGGUGUGCUCGGCACCGAGACCUUCGCCUUCGCGGACGAUGGCGGCCGCGCCGCAGCCGCGGAGGUUGGUGGCGUCGUCUUUGGCUGCGCGCACACCGCCACAGGGUUCCACAGCCAUGGAGUACUAGCCGGCGUCCUCGGCCUGGGGAAACUGAUGCCGUCUCUCAUCUGGACUCGGCUCCGCCAGCACCGGCAGGACGGCCGCUUCUCCUACUGCCUCUUCGGUCCCACGCGUCCGGAGAGGCACGGCUUCCUCCGGUUCGGCGCCGAUGUCCCGGCCACCGGCCACAUGAAGAGCACCAACAUCCUCUACAUGCGCUGGACCAGCCCGGAUUUCAGCGCCUACUUCGUCAAACUCCUCGGAGUCAGCGUCGCCGGCAAGCGCCUGGCCGGGCCACCCGGACGCCGCAUGAGCGAAUUAUUCCAGCGCCACAAGUCGGGCGGUAGGUGGUACGGCGGGUGCCUGAUCGAUCCCGGGACGGGCACGACGACGAUGACGCAGCUCGCGUACAACGUCCUGGAGCACGCCGUGGAGGAGCACGUCAAGAGACUGGGGAUGCCGCUUGUGAGGCGCCACGGGUAUCGCCUUUGCUUCAGCGGCGCGACUCAGGCCGCCAUCCCGCACCUGCCGACGAUGACGCUGCACUUCGAGGAGGGCGGGGAGGACGACGGUGACCUCGUGAUAAGGCCGCAACAACUCUUCGUCUUCGUUCAGCACGACAUCUGCCUCGCCGUGGUGCCGAGCGAGCACAUUACCAUCAUCGGCGCGAUGCAGCAGGUGGACACGCGCUUCGUCUAUGACAUCACAGCCGGGAAGAUCCACUUCGCCCCCGAGAGAUGCAGCGACGACACAGGCGGUCCCAACUGA
rnacentral:rRNA from 1 species